rnacentral:rRNA from 1 species
GUCGCAAGACCAAAGAGGGGGACCUUCGGGCCUCUUGCCAUCGGAUGUGCCCAGAUGGGAUUAGCUUGUUGGUGGGGUAACGGCUCACCAAGGCGACGAUCCCUAGCUGGUCUGAGAGGAUGACCAGCCACACUGGAACUGAGACACGGUCCAGACUCCUACGGGAGGCAGCAUG